UAGGGUGUAGUUCAGUGGUAGAGCAUGUGCUUACCAAGUGCAAGGCCCUGAGUUCAUUUCCCAGCACCAAAA
rnacentral:tRNA from 1 species